GGUUCCUUUUUCUUACAAAACCUGUACUUGGGCAGAACAAGCAGAUGAGGACUUGUGUGCAGAACAUAACGAUCCCAAUGAAAGGAAACAGAUGUCGUUGCUUUGAGCAUUUCCAAAGGCAACUGCAGUAAAAUAUGAAACAUCACCGUCUAAAAGCCUGCUGUGUCACGGAGAUGUGCUGAUAUUGUCAGCUGUGUGUGAGUGGAGUUGGUGCCUCUGGCCAACCCGGCCCCCACAUCAGAGGAAUAACAACGACAAAGUCAUGGAAAUGUUAAGGGAAAAACUCAAACUGCGCUCUGAAGUGCGCUCGGCUUUCCUUUUAACCAAAAGCCACGUAAAAGAAAGACUACACCUGUUGGUCUGGCUUGCAGCUGGAAUUGGAGAGGAAAUUUAUUUCCAUGAAUGGAGAAGUGUCAGAGUGAGCAGGCACAGAACAGGCUCGCGAGAAUAACUUUGGGGCAAAAUGACUUUAGAAGAUCAACCAGCCAACCAAAUAUAAGGAAGUUAAAUGAUGCCAUUAGUGCAGAAACUUCCAAAUGGAUGCAAGAAUCAAAGCCUUCAAGAAGCUGAUGUGAUUGGCACUUGGAAUAGGUCUCUUAUUAAUUCACACGGACCAUAAAAGUAAUCUUAUCUAGAAUCUUCCAUUUAUAGCCCUUGUUAUUUUCUCCCUUUAUUUUCACCUCUUCUCUUCUGCUUGGCUUCCUAAUUCCUGGGUAUCUGACUCCGGUAACAUCUGCAGCUUCUCAACUGGGAUGUUUAUGGGGUGUCAGAUGCCUACAUAUCGAGAACUCUUCCUGUAUCUGGGAAUUAGACGUGAAGAGAAAGAAAACAGGGCAUGAGACCAUGUACACCUUAGCUCCGAGUUAGGUCAUCUGAAAGCUGUGUCCCUGGACCUCGUUAUCUUAGCUUCCCACAGAACAGCAUCCAACGAAUUAAGAUUGAAUAUCAUGUCUUCAGCUUUUAUAGAGGGCAGCCAACACAGAAAUGUACUUGCGAAGAACAAACCUGGGUAUUUUGCAAAAGCACAGUGGAGAACUUUAUUAUGUUACCCAAAGUCCUUUUUAUAAGAAUUGGUAAGGCUUUUGUUUCUCUGAAUGAACAUUAUAUUGACAGUGACAAGUAUAUCCCAUACAAUGACAGGGGACUCAGGACUGAGUCUGGCCCCCGAUGGCAGCCUCUUUCACAUCCUGGUGACUGGUGGCAUCCAUUUAUUUGUU